rnacentral:rRNA from 1 species
GUAGAUGAUCUGCCUUUUGGUUGGGGAUAGCCUGUGGAAACACAGGGUAAUACCGAAUAAGGUUCGACGGCUUUGGCUGUAGAAAGAAAGGGGCGUAUGCCUCGCCAGAAGAUGAGUCUGCGUCUGAUUAGCUAGUUGGUGGGGUAAAGGCCUACCAAGGCGACGAUCAGUAGCCGGCCUGAGAGGGUGUACGGCCACACUGGGACUGAGACACGGCCCAGACUCCUACGGGAGGCAGCAGCUAAGAAUCUUCCGCAAUGGGGGCAACCCUGACGGAGCGAUGCCGCGUGGAUGACGAAGGUCGAGAGAUUGUAAAGUCCUUUUCUGGAUGAGGAAUAAGCAUGGUAGGAAAUGACCGUGUGAUGACGUUAGUUCAGGAAUAAGCCCCGGCCAAUUACGUGCCAGCAGCCGCGGUAACACGUAAGGGGCGAGCGUUGUUCGGAAUUAUUGGGCGUAAAGGGCGUGCAGGCGGUUUGACAAGUCUGUUGUGAAAGACCGGGGCUUAACUCCGGGAGCGCGAUGGAAACUGUCAGACUAGAGUACUGGAGGGGGAGCUGGAAUUCCUAGUGUAGGGGUGAAAUCUGUUGAUAUUAGGAAGAACACCGGUGGCGAAGGCGAGCUCCUGGCCGCGUACUGACGCUGAGGCGCGAAAGCGUAGGUAGCAAACAGGAUUAGAUACCCUGGUAGUCUACGCUGUAAACGAUGUGCACUUGGUGUUGGCCUGUUUAGGGUCAGUGCCGAAGCUAACGCGAUAAGUGCACCGCCUGGGGGAGUAUGCCCGCAAGGGUGAAACUCAAAG